AAUGAACGCUGGCGGCGCGCCUAAUACAUGCAAGUCGAGCGAGAAGACGUAGCAAUACGUUUGUAAAGCGGCGAACGGGUGAGGAAUACAUGGGUAACCUACCCUCGAGUGGGGAAUAACUAGCCGAAAGGUUAGCUAAUACCGCGUACGCUCCUUGGACUUCGGUUCAGGGAGGAAAGCGAUACCGUGGGUAUCGCGCUCUUGGUUGGGCUCAUGUCCUAUCAGCUUGUUGGUGAGGAACGGCUCACCAAGGCUUCGACGGGUAGCUGGUCUGAGAGGACGAUCAGCCACACUGGCACUGCGACACGGGCCAGACUCCUACGGGAGGCAGCAGUAAGGAAUAUUGCGCAAUGGGCGAAAGCCUGACGCAGCGACGCCGCGUGGGGGAGUGAAGGUCUUCGGAUUGUAAACCCCGUUUACGGGAGGGAAGAUGGAACGAGCAAUCGUUCGGACGGUACCUCCAGAAGCAGCCACGGCUAACUUCGUGCCAGCCGCCG
rnacentral:rRNA from 1 species